GCGAGAGGUACCGGUCCUCUGGUGACACCUCGUAGUUGGGCGACCCUGGUAGGUCGUAGUGUGGCGGCGUUGUCGGCUCUUCGUAGGCUGGCGGUGGCGGCGACAGGUACCGGUCCUCCGGUGACACCUCGUAGUAUGGCGGAGGUGGAGACUCUUGGUAAGCUGGGGGUGGCGGUGACUGGUACCGGUCCUCCGGCGACACCUCGUAGUGGGGUGGAGGUGGAGACUCUUGGUAAGCCGGGGGUGGCGGUGAGUGGUACCGGUCCUCCGGUGACACCUCGUAGUAGGGAGCUGGCACCUCGUAGUGGGGAGGCGUUGUCGGCUCUUGGUACGCUGGAGGUGGCGGCGAGAGGUACCUUUCCUCAGGUGAGACCUCGUAGUACGGAGGUGGGG
rnacentral:lncRNA from 1 species